CAGAAUCGCUUGUUUGUGCCAU
rnacentral:siRNA from 1 species